rnacentral:tRNA from 1 species
GGGGGUGAUAUGGUUAUGUUUUGAGACUGUCAAUUUCGAAACGCGGGUUCGAUUCCCGCCACCUCCACAA